rnacentral:tRNA from 1 species
GGAGAGGUGCGAGAGUGGUUGAAUCGGCUCGCCUGGAAAGCGAGUAUACCUUUACGGGUAUCGAGGGUUCGAAUCCCUCUCUCUCCG